CCUACGGGGGGCAGCAGUGAGGAAUAUUGGUCAAUGGCCGUAAGGCUGAACCAGCCAAGUCGCGUGAAGGAAGAAGGAUCUAUGGUUUGUAAACUUCUUUUAUAGGGGAAUAAAGGUAUCCACGUGUGGAUAUUUGCAUGUACCCUAUUAAUAAGCAUCGGCUAACUCCGUGCCAGCAGCCGCGGUAAUACGGAGGAUUCGAGCGUUAUCCGGAUUUAUUGGGUUUAAAGGGUGCGUAGGUUGUAUUUUAAGUGAGCGGUGAAAGUUUGUGGCUCAACCAUAGAAUUGCCGUUGAAACUGGAAGACUUGAGUGUGUUAGAGGUAGGCGGAAUGCGUGGUGUAGCGGUGAAAUGCAUAGAUAUCACGCAGAACUCCGAUUGCGAAGGCAGCUUACUAAGCCAUAACUGACACUGAAGCACGAAGGCCAGGGGAGCGAAAGGGAUUAGAUACCCGUGUAGUC
rnacentral:rRNA from 1 species